rnacentral:lncRNA from 1 species
UUCAUUGAGACUUUGCCAUUUCUUUAGUUUGAUUUUCUCUUGCACUUUAAUCAUGUCAUUAAUGCUUUAUAGUCAUUUUGAAUGAAGCAUUUAAAUCUGAAAGUGUGGUGACCAACAUAACUAUUUUGUACUAAGUUGUUUCCUUUUGCAGUGAUAAAGUACCCUUUGUCUUCUGCAAUGUUGCAUCUAUCAAUAUAUCCUUUCAUCCCAAUUCCAAC